GACGGAGGGUGCAAACGUUGUUCGGAAUCACUGGGCAUAAAGCGCACGUAGGCGGUUCGGUCAGUCAGGUGUGAAAGCCCCCGGCUCAACCGGGGAAUUGCACUUGAUACUGCCGAACUAGAGUGUGGUAGGGGUGAGCGGAACUCCAGGUGGAGCGGUGAAAUGCGUAGAUAUCUGGAGGAACACCGGUGGCGAAAGCGGCUCACUGGACCAAGACUGACGCUGAGGUGCGAAAGCUAGGGUAGCGAACGGG
rnacentral:rRNA from 1 species